rnacentral:lncRNA from 10 species
AAGAGGGCCAUUUGUAUCACUGUGUGACUCCAUUCCUCAACUCCUUUCUCCAAGCCAAUAACUUUUGGCAGCUGGAUGACUCCUGACCUGAAAGCUUGUGACUUUUUCCUUGAGGCUGAGACAGAGCUGUGACUGUUGUAAAACUCCUGCCACCCACAGCUCAGCAAAAUCUCAGGCGCCAUUGUAGAGCAGCCAUUGAAUCAACACAGAGAGGCGGCAGCGUGCCUCUGACUCACCAGGAACCCAGCUCCUCACUGUUCCGCCUGCAAACAGACCUCAAAGCUCCUUGUUCCUUGCUUUGUGCUGCUGAACGCAAGUGGGACCCAGGGAAGGCCACAGAUGCUCUCUGGAAGUACAAUAGCUAUUUUCCUGGUCUGCAUCUGAGGUAGACACGGAAGGAUCAGAGGGACUCAGGGCAUUGCCCUCAGGGGAGUUCUUGGUGCUCAAUGCCUGCAUACCUCACUUAUGCCAUGAAGGUAUUCCUUAAAGGAAAUGAUAAAAAUAUCACUUUGAUGAGGAAUCGAAAAUUAACCAACUCGAUAAGUGGAAUACCCAGGAUUCCCCAAACGGACUGGCUUCAAGAAGGAAAAGAUGGGUGUUGGAAAAUUUAAUGGACUGAAGAAAUGGCAGCAUUUGUUUUUGAAUGAGAAUAAAAUAAGUGAGUUGCUGUGAAAUACAGUUCUUUAUUAAGCGAAAAAAUUGCCUGGGUAUCAAAACCUUUUUACAGACAACACAGUUUAUAAAAGAGUCUCUUUUGAAUGCUGCAGAAAUUAUGUGUCCAGAGCCUCAACAGGCAUUUGUAAAUGUUAGUCUAAUGAGCAACUUUGUAGCUUGGUAUGUUAAAAAUAAGAUUGAGAACUUUCAGGACAAGUUAAUUUAUGGGUGGCAUUUUCUCUUGCAGCAAAUGAGAACACAGAUAUAGAGAAUAGCACACUGUUAACUAUAUUUAUUUGUGGUGUGGUGAGAAUUUUGAAGGGGUCAAGGAACUUCAGAAACAGGAGCCCAUGAAAGGCAAAACAUCAGGAAAUGGCUGACUCUGUGUUAUGAAAAAGGUCUCAGACCAUUUGGAUGUAGAAUGCAUUGGUCAAAGUCACCAAGUGUUAUAGAUGGAGCUCUCAGGAUGUGUGGAGUUAAUGUCAGGCCGGUCAAGUAACAGCCCAUAGGUGGCACUAUUUUGUAGGUACACUAUCCCCAAGUCCAUUAAUUUCCUCAUUCAUCAGAAAUUGCUUUGGGCACAAAGCUAAAAUGGGAGAAGCCAUGGAUUCAGUAAUUAAUACCACUAAUUGGCUAUUCUUCUAUGUCUCUGAGCAAAAUCAGGUCAACAUUUGCUUAAUGAAUUUGCUGGCUUACUUGCACUGUGGUGCAGAAGAGAUUUUUUUAACUGUUAAUGUCAUCACAGGGGAUAGCCCUAUCUCUGCUUAGCAGUGAAGAUUAGCCCAAAGUCCUGAGCUUUUUGCUGACUCUACAACUUAUCUAUAUUUUUUGACUAUUUUUCUAUAGGUACAGUCACAAGUAUUGCACAAAUGUUUCAUUUGUGAGCUUCUCUCCGUCCAGAUAAAGGUAACUUUUUGGGAAAUUCAUUUGUAAAGGAAUAAUUUCAUCUACUUUCCUACAUUGAGAUCAGUUUCCAGAAAUGAAGAUACCAUAAAAUUUAUUCUCUAAAACUAUGCCAUUGAAAACCAAAUUCUAAAAAUGUUCUCAGACUUCAAACUUUAUGAAAAUGAAAUAACAUUAUUUAGCUUACCUUUCUUAUUUUUUGAUAGCACCUAUGUUGGGCUAUGAUUAGACAUUAUCAAACUGUAAUGCAAAAACGGUACUGAAGUCUAUUUGAAGUCUAAGUAGAGCAAUGCUGAAAGCCAGGAUUGUACACACAUUUUGGAAGAGGUGAUUCUAGAUAUAAGAACCAUUUACAGUAGUAAUUCCAUCCAUGUUAGGAAGAGCCUAUGUUUAGGCUCGACUCCAAAAUUAAUCUGAAAAAAACCAACCACCCUCCUGGCAUAAGUGUUUAAGGCUGCAUUCUGUACAUCACAGUGAAAAAUACAGGGCCUGAAACAUGUUUUGGUACAGAAAAAAAGAUGUGAGGUUUCUGAUUCCAAGUCAAAGCAGUAAUGAAUUAUGAAAUAAAAAUAUAGCAAUAAUUGUUUUCCUUUUUCAAUGUUUUUAAAAUUUAAUAUAAAAUAGCAUAUGAAUAUUAUAUAUAUUUACAUUAUUACAUACCUAUUCCAUAAUUUAAUAAGAAUAAAGUGUUUGCUUCCAU